UACGUAGGUGGCAAGCGUUGUCCGGAAUUAUUGGGCGUAAAGCGCGCGCAGGCGGUCCUUUAAGUUUGAUGUGAAAGCCCACGGCUCAACCGUGGAGGGUCAUUGGAAACUGGGGGACUUGAGUGCAGGAGAGAAGAGUGGAAUUCCACGUGUAGCGGUGAAAUGCGUAGAGAUGUGGAGGAACACCAGUGGCGAAGGCGACUCUUUGGCCUGUAACUGACGCUGAGGCGCGAAAGCUAGGGGAGCAAACGGG
rnacentral:rRNA from 1 species